rnacentral:lncRNA from 1 species
GCAUCUAGGACACACAUCUAACAGAAUUUUGGAGAAUCAAAAUUCAGAUUAUAGAGGACUAUUCUAGACUGAUCUCGAAUAGAUACUCAUAGAGGCCGGAUACUUGUACACUAACAGAGAACCUUGUCUCUUUUAGAUCCAGUUUUGAAGAAAGAGAUUGCGAAACAGGUAUGUGAUUUGAUCACAAUCUAAAUUUCAGCAUAUAUCAAGUUCAGCAUAUGAAAU